rnacentral:rRNA from 1 species
UACGAAGGGGGCUAGCGUUGCUCGGAAUGACUGGGCGUAAAGGGCGCGUAGGCGGUUUGCACAGUCGGGCGUGAAAUUCCAGGGCUCAACCUUGGGGCUGCGUUCGAGACGUGUGGGCUAGAGUGUGGAAGAGGGUCGUGGAAUUCCCAGUGUAGAGGUGAAAUUCGUAGAUAUUGGGAAGAACACCGGUGGCGAAGGCGGCGACCUGGUCCAUUUACUGACGCUGAGGCGCGAAAAGCGUGGGGGAGCAAACAGG